CCCUACCUCACCCAGGCUCCCUUCUCAGCUCCUCCUUCCCAGACUCCAACUCAAUGAAUAUCCCCCAUUUUCAAUGGAGGUGCAAAAGAACAGGACCUUGGGAAACCCCGAUGUUUAAAAAGAGCCUGAGAAGGAAUCUUGAGAUAAGAGGAACCCAAGAGAUGGCAGAGUUCUGGAAAUCAAGGGAAGAAGCCGCUCACAUACCGACCCGAAGGCUGGUAGAGGAAAGAACUUUGGGGAUGACCUCAUAUCCUGCUUCACAGAGAAAACAGAAAUUAGAAGACAUCAAAGGAAACUCAACUUCCCACCACUAAAUCAACAAACCUGCUUUUAUCAUGUGCAUUUAUCCUCCCUUUCCUCUUCUUGUUUGAUGGAAGAAUUGCUGCUUUUCCUAUUUGAAGCUAAUCUCUUAAGAGCUCUUCAAACUUGACAUGUCCAAAACCAAAUUCAACAUCUUCCUCUCAAAAUCUGUUCCACUUUCUGUGUUCCUUUUUGUUGUUGUUGUUAAAUAGCACACCAUUCAUCCGAUUACCCAAGCAAAAGAACCCAUAGGACUCACCCUUAACUUUGUGUCUCCCUUACUCUGUCCAUACCAACACUCUCCAAGUCCUGCCAGUCCCAUCUCUUAAUACAUAUGAAUUCCAGCUGCUCGUCUCCAACCUCCACUGUCUCCUUCCUAGUCCACACUACUAUCUUCUCUCACCUGGACUACUACAACUGAUUUGACGAGCAAGUUAUAUCGAUUCUACUAUGUGGAUAUCUGGAGUAAAACAUUUCAGGCAGAAAGAACAGCACAUGAAAGACCUUGAGGAAAAAACACAACAACAACACCGUUACAGGAAACCAGAAAGAAGGGAAGGCAGGCAGUGUCUCAGUCCCAGUGGAUUACAUAAUCAAGCCUAAGGCCCCAGUGGAGCAGAUGGAGCUCAGGACCCAGGGGCCUUUGGAAGGAACAGGAACGGGGUUAGAGGGGCAGAAAGUCACCAGGCACAAAGGUGAUUCAAGGAAGAGGUGGCACCUGUGGCUUUCCCAAGGGAUGCUUAGGAUAGCACCAGACCCCUCUGGAGAGUCCAGAGGCCAAGGAGGCCCAGGAGUGGGAGGAGAGGUUCUUGGGUUGUGCCACCAGGAAGACAGAGGGCCAGUGCUGCUACCUACAGCCACAAGACUCCAC